GCUUUUUUAUCCUUCAAUGUCGGCUCUUCCUAUCAUUGUGAAGAAGAAUUCACCAAGUGUUGGAUUGUUCACCCACCAAUAGGGAACGUGAGCUGGGUUUAGACUGUCAUGAUACAGGUUAGUUUUACCCUACUGAUGAACUGCGUCGUAAUAGUAAUUCAACUUAGUACGAGAGGAACCGUUGAUUCACACAAUUGGUCAUCGCACUUGGUUGAAAAGCCAGUGGCAUGAAGCUACCGUGUGUUGGAUUAUGACUGAACGCCUCUAAGUCAGAAUCCAUGCUAGAAGCAAUGCUUGUCACUCCUCGACUGUAUCUUGACCUGCAUUAGGGGUGUCUCUUCGACACCCCCAGGGGCCCGUGUCACUUGCGAACCUCGGCCGGGAAGCGUCUCGGUCGAGGCAGCUUUGAAGUUCAAUUUCAAACGGUCGUUGAGAAGAAUCCUUUGCAGACAACUUAAAUACGCGACGGGGUAUUGUAAGUGGCAGAGUGGCCUUGUUGCCAUGAUCCACUAAGAUUCAUCCCUUUGUCGCCUCGAUUCAG
rnacentral:ncRNA from 1 species